rnacentral:rRNA from 1 species
AUUGAACGCUAGCGGGAUGCUUUACACAUGCAAGUCGAACGAGUGGCGGACGGGUGAGUAAUAUAUCGGAACGUGCCCAGUAGAGGGGGAUAACUACUCGAAAGAGUGGCUAAUACCGCAUAAUAUAGGAGCGGCCGUUAUCGGCUUAGCUAGGUGGUGGGGGAAAGGCUCACCAAGCCAACGAUCCGUAGAGGGUUUGAGAGGACGACCAGCCCCACUGGGACUGAGACACGGCCCAGACUCCUACGGGAGGCAGCAGUGGGGAAUUUUGGCCAAUGGGGGAAACCCUGAUCCAGCCAUCCCGCGUGUAUGAGAAGGCCUUCGGGUUGUAAAGUCCUUUUGGCAGAGAAGCGGUAUCUGCAGAAUAAGCACCGGCUAACUACGUGCCAGCAGCCGCGGUAAUUC